AUUGAACGCUGGCGGCAUGCUUUACACAUGCAAGUCGAACGGUAACAGGCCGCAAGGUGCUGACGAGUGGCGAACGGGUGAGUAAUGCAUCGGAACGUGCCCAGUCGUGGGGGAUAACUGCUCGAAGGAGCAGCUAAUACCGCAUACGAUCUAUGGAUGAAAGCGGGGGACCGUAAGGCCUCGCGCGAUUGGAGCGGCCGAUGUCAGAUUAGGUAGUUGGUGGGGUAAAGGCUCACCAAGCCAACGAUCUGUAGCUGGUCUGAGAGGACGACCAGCCACAAUGGGACUGAGACACGGCCCAGACGCGUACGGGAGGCAGCAGUGGGGAAGUUUGGACAAUGGGGGCAACCCUGAUCCAGCAAUGCCGCGUGCAGGAAGAAGGCCUUCGGGUUGUAAACUGCUUUUGUACGGAACGAAACGGUCUGGGUUAAUACCCUGGGCUAAUGACGGUACCGUAAGAAUAAGCACCGGCUAACUACGUGCCAGCCGCCGCCGUAAGAC
rnacentral:rRNA from 1 species